GGGCCUGUGGUAUAGUGGAUUACGACGUCCGCCUCCGAUUUGGAUUUGGCCAAAGAGUGAGUGAGUGGAACGUCCAAGGUUCGGUCCCUGGCUGGCUCG